UAAUACGUAGGGGGCAAGCGUUGUCCGGAAUCACUGGGCGUAAAGCGUGCGUAGGCGGUUGUGUAAGUCUGAAGUGAAAGUCCAAGGCUCAACCUUGGGAUUGCUUUGGAAACUGCACGACUUGAGUGCUGGAGAGGCAAGGGGAAUUCCACGUGUAGCGGUGAAAUGCGUAGAUAUGUGGAGGAAUACCAGUGGCGAAGGCGCCUUGCUGGACAGUGACUGACGCUGAGGCACGAAAGCGUGGGGAGCAAACAGGAUUAGAUACCCUGGUAGUCCACGCCGUAAACGAUGAGUGCUAGGUGUUGGGGGGACACACCCCAGUGCCGAAGGAAACCCAAUAAGCACUCCACCUGGGGAGUACGGUCGCAAGACUGAA
rnacentral:rRNA from 1 species